UUCCUAGUGCACAGAACAAUUUCCUAGUGCACAGAACAGACCCCUGGCUUGCUUCCCUCAGACUGUGAAGCAAAAGGACAAAGGAACAAAGGUUAACUUUCGUUGGUACCUUCCUCUCUGAGCCCAUCUCUUGCUCCUGACUAUUCCUCUCCUUCAGGACACUCGGGCCAAUUUCAAGUUCCAAAAGCAGAUAUGAAUCACCCCAGGCUCCA
rnacentral:lncRNA from 1 species